AGAAAAAAAUGAAGUAUCAAAGACUAUCCAGUUAUGAAGAACCUGCAUCAUUCAAAGAAUUCCUCUGUAAAAAUGUGCCGACUGGUUGAACAUGGUUCCAAAGUAGUCAUGAAAUAUCUCAACUGUCUUCAAUGGUAUUUGUUGAACAAGACGGUGGAAGUUAUCUUUGUGGCGUCAAAGGAACAACUCUCUUCCUAGGGCAAUCAGCACACUAGCAAUUAAGGGUAUUGCUGCUUAAGCUCAGUGGAAAGCUAUGCAGAGGAUAAUGAUGACCGUGCACCACCCAUUUCACUGAAGAUCAGGGCGUCAUACAUCAUUUGACAUACAGCAUGUUUCAGCAGAUAGAUGCUUUAAAACAUGUGAGUCAAUACAUGCAUAUAUUAUUUAUUCAGAUUCAUUGAAUAAUCAGGUGGAUAUCAGGAGGAUCAUAACACUCUAAAUUGUUUAAAUAUUGUUAUGCAUUUUGAUGGAUUUUAUUUAACACUUUUGGGGGAUUCACUGUAGCUUAGUAAUGCUUCUUUUAAUUAAAACUAUACA